CAUCUAAAAAAUAAUAUUAAUAAUACACAUAACUUGUGGCUCCAUAUUGAUGGGCUAUAUGCAUUUGUAAUAUGUAAUAGUCAUAUUGCACGAAUUCAGCUUAUGAGACAAAAGUAUAAUGUGCUCAACUAUUUGGAUAGUAAGGCACACUUCUAGCGCACUGGAAGUACGUCACUUUUCGCAGCAAAACAACGUUUUCAACACGGGUUCCUAAAGGACUGUGGUGGCAGCCUGCAUCAAAUAGAAGAUGAACACGGGUGAUUUGUCCUUUGUCCUCUCGCUUCAAACCAAGCAGGCAGCCAUCCUCCAUAUGGAAGCUCUUCCCCCGUCAAUGUAUGGCUAUCAACUUUGCCCAGAGAGCUAACUGUAGUUUUGACUGCCCUCUAAUUCAAAGGACGUGCACGUGUUUGCACUUGAGAAGGAACAGGCCAAGAUGGAUGGGAAGAUCUUCCUGGUCACCAGUUACAGUGAGCUAUGGCAUUACUACAGCGCAAGGAGACCAAAGACACUGUCACAGUAGACAAGGGAGGGCACAACCGUCGUCAAUCAUCACAUCCGAGGAGCAUUACAUUCAAGUGGAGCGGGUUAUGGUUUCCAGAUGAUCGUCACCCUCUGCUUCCCUUUCCCCUCUACCGGGGGGUUCACAUCUUGAUCGUCGCAUAGAGCAGGUCAAUCUGCUCCCGGAAGUGACUGCGAAGGUCGGUCCUCUUGGCCUUGAGCGUGGGCGUCAGGAGGCCGUUCUGGACGGAGAACAUCUCCGUGUGCAGCGAGAUAUCUCUCACCUGCACGGGACAGAGAGCAUGUUAUUCAUUAUUCCGCUUAUUAUGCAUUUAGCGUUUAUUUAACAAGCCGAGUCCCAUUGAGAUGCAAAUGUAGUUUUUUUAAAAAUCCAAGAGUACUCUGGGCUAGAGGCAGCAUUAUAAUCAUGCACAUUUUGGCACCAACAUCGCUUGUGAGUGUUAUCUUGUUUAAAUGGUGCCUAAGGAGUGUGUGGAGUAUUAGGAAGGAUGCCUUACCUGCUCAAAAGACUUCAGCCCACCUUCUUUCCCCAGCCUCAGAAUGUCCUCCAGAAUGGCAUUUUUCAACUCCUGGAAAGACAGGCACUUUAGACAAGGCAGUGUAGACAAUCUUAAUGGUUGUACUUUAAAGGGAUAGUUCACUCAAACUAUCUUGUAGUAUUUUGUUCGUUAGUCUAUUGUUAAUACAACCCCCCCCCCCAAAAAAAAAAUGUCAGGGGUCACAUUCUUUGACACUUUCAGUACAAACAAAAACUGUGAUGAGUGUUUGAGAUGAGAUUGGCCUUGUUCCGAUAUCCACGCUAGCAUGCCCAAUACAUUGCUUUAUUCUAAGGCUUUACACUCCAAAUCAAAUCAAGUUGUAUGUCACGUGCGCCAAAUACAACAGGUGUAGACCUUACCGUGAAACGCUUACUUACAAGCCCUUAACCAACAAUGCAGUUCAAGAAAUAGAGUUAAAAAAAGAUUUACUACAUAAACUAAAGAAAUAAAAUAAGUAACAAUAAAAUAACAAUGAGGCUAUAUACAGGUUACCGGUACCGAGUCAGUGUGCAGGGGUACAGGUUAGUCGAGGUAAUUUGUACAUGUAGGUUGGGUAAAGUGACUACGCAUAGGUAAUAAACAGCGAGUAGCAGCGGUGUAAAACAAAAGGGGGGGGGGGGGGGGGGGGGGCUCAAUGUAAAUAGUCCAAGUGGCCAUUUGAUGAAUUGUUCAGCAGUCUUAUGGCUUGGGGGUAGAAGCUGUUAAGGAGCCUCUUGGACCUAAACUUGGCACUCCGGUAUCGCUUGCCGUGCAGUAGCAGAAAGAACAGUAUGACUUGGGUGAUUGAGUCUGACAACUUGUUGGGUCUUCCUCUGACACCGCCUAGUAUAUAGGUCCUGGAUGGCAGGAAGCUUGGCCCCAGUAAUGUACUUGGCCGUACGCACUGCAAUCUGUAGCACCUUGCAGUCGGAUCCGAACAGUUGCCAUACCAGGCAGUGAUGCAAUCGGUCAGGAUGUUCUCGAUGGUGCAGCUGUAGAACUUUGAGGAUCUGGGGACCCAUGCUAAAUCUUUUCCGUCUCCUGAGGGGGAAAAGGCGCUGUCGUGCCCGCUUCCCGACUGUCUUGGUGUUUGGUCCAUGAGUUACUGUAGAGGCUCUUCAAGCUGCAAUUACAUUUUUCUGAGGACAACACCUGUUGAAGUUUAAGAGGAUGGACUGUGGAACUUAGCCACUGAAUACACUGUUAGUUGAUGGUAAAUCUGCCAUACCAUUGAAGCUAGCUAACCUUGCUUGCGCACAUCUCCAAAUAAGAACCCUCGAUGCCCUUCUUCUUUGCCCAUCCUGGUAAGAAGUCUGGAUCAGGCACCACAAUGCCCACCAGGCAUGCCUGUGCCAAACAAGACAUUUUCAAACAUUUUUCUUACAAUUCAUAAGCAUUUAUACUAAUUUACAAAUGUAUCAACAUUUACAAGCAGUGGCUUAUACAUGAAAGUCAUAAGUGUAACCCAAACAAGUUUCAGUCCGAUGGUGAAUACAGCCACAACAAACGUUAUGCACGUACAUACCCAACCACAAACAAAGUGCAUCAAUAGAAAGUAUUUGGUUUGUCACACACCUGCAAGCUAUCGCCAUGGACAAAGAUCUGGGCCACCGGGUCGCUCCGGAUGUAGACGUUCUCGACCUUCUCCGGGGCAAUGUACUCUCCUUGAGCCAGCUUGAAGAUGUGCUUCUUCCUGUCCACGAUCUUCAGAACGCCAUUCUGAAAGUACAGUAAACAAACUUAACUCAGUAGUGAGCUACAUCAGAUUUAGCCCCAUUACUACUCUUAGUCAGUCAUAGAUUGAGGCCCAAUAGCAGUGGUGGGCCAGUGUCUGCUGAUCUCUAUUUCCUGGUACUUAUAUCAUCAUCAGCAUCAUCAUCAUCUAAGCAGGGUCAGUCCUGAUCGAUCCCUGGAUGGGAUACCAGCUGCUGCUGGCAGUGGUGUUGAAGCGCUAAGGAGAUCCAAUGCCCCAGGGCAGUGAAGGGGAUAUUGCCCUGCAUAGUGUGCCGUCUUUCGGAUGGAACGAUAAACAGGUGUCCUGACCCAAUGGUCAUUAAAAAUCCCAUUGCAAUUACCGUAAGAGUACAGGUGUUAGCCCCAUUGUCAUGGCUAAAUUCCUAACCUGGCCCCAUUCCAUCAUAGCCACCUAAUCAUCCCCUAUAUUCCUAAUUGGCAUAUUUCACCUCAUGUGUGGUGAGCGUUCUUGCACAACAACUGUCACUGUGCAAGCCCCACCAGAGGACAAUUGCCAUAGGCUAGCUCAGUGUUUCCCAAUCUUGGUCCUGGGGACCCAAUGGGGUGCACAUUUUUGUUUUUUGCCCUAGCACUAACACACUUGAUUCAACUAAUCAAGUCACCAUCAAGCCUAAAAAAAAAAUGAACAGAAUUGAGAAACACAGAGGUAGUUGAAUGUAGAGUUGACAGUACUUACAGGCAGCCACUUCCCAAUGUCUCCCGUGUGGAGCCAGCCAUCCUGAUCCAAGGCCUCCAUUGUCUUCUCCGGGUCAUUCAGGUAGCCCUUGAAUACGUUUGGUCCUUUUACACACACCUGCAAAGAAGCAGAAUUUUAUACAUAAAUACAAACAUGAGACCAGGCUACACACCCACCUCCUCAAAGGCUAUUGAUAAAAUUGUGAAGUAUCAAAGCAAGCUCUCGAGUGGCACAGCAGUCUAAGGCACUGCAUCUCAGUGCAAGAGGCAUCCCUACAGUCCUUGGUUUGAUUCCAGGCUGUAUCAUAUCCGGCCGUGAUUGGGAGUCCCUUAGGCCGACGCACAAAUGGCCCAGCGUCGGCGGGGUAGGCCGUCAUUGUAAAUAAGAAUAUUCUUAACUUACCUAGUUAAAUAAAUGUUAAAGAAAAUUCAACUGGGAAAACCCCAAUCCCAAUAAAGCAAGCUAGAGAAGACCCAUCUCAGUAUUCCAGUAGGUCCCAAUACAUGCGUUAAAGAGAUCAAUGGAAGGCAGACCAAGGACGCUGCCAUUGGAGGCCAUUCAAAAAACCUUAUCUAACAAUGUGGAUAUUCAUCAAAUCCGUCAUGAUUAAUGUGUUCUAGCAGGCACAUAAUGUGGUUAAUAAAGUCUGAUUUGGCCAAUUUUGUUGCAUAAUAUUUAGAAGUUGUACAAUAGGGUUUAGAAAACAGACUACAUGACCAAAUGUAUAGUUUAAGUUGACAUACAUCUUAGUCUUAGACAUACAUAAUUUUAAACUCAGUUUCACAAUUCCUGACAUUUAAUCCUAGUAAAAAUGUCCAGUCUAAGUCAGUUAGGAUCACCACUUUAUUUUAAGAAUGUGAAAUGUCAGAAUAAUAGUAGAGAGAAUGAUUUAUUUCAGCUUUUAUUUCUAUCACAUUCCCAGUCAGAAGUUUACAUAUACUCAAUUUGUAUUUGGUAGCAUUGCCUUCAAAUUGUUUAACUUGGGUCAAAUGUUUUGGCUAGCCUUACAAUCUUCCCACAAUAAGUUGGGUGAAUUUUGUCCCAUUCCUCCUGACAGAGCUGGUGUAACCGAGUCAGGUUUGUAGGCCUCCUUGCUCUCACACGCUUUCUCAGUUCUGCCCACAAAUUUGAGAUAUGAUUGAGGUCAGGGCUUCGUGAUGGCCACUCCAAUACCUUGACUUUGUCCUUAAGCCAUUUUGCCACAACUUUGGAAGUAUGCUUGGAGUCAUUGUCCAUUUGGAAGACCCAUUUGCGACCAAGCUUUAACUUCCUGACUGAUGUCUUGAGAUGUUGCUUCAAUAUAUCCACAUGAUUGUCCUUUCUCGUGAUGUGAAGUGCACCAGUCCCUCCUGCAGCAAAGCACCCCCACAACAUGAUUCUGCACUUCAACACUUAAUCUGUCUAAACAAUUGUUGGAUUACUUGUGUCAUGCACAAAGUAGAUGUCCUAACCGACUUGCCAAAACUAGUUUGUUAACAAGAAAUUUGUGGAGUGGUUGAAAAACAAGUUAAUGACUCCAACCUAAGUGUAUGUAAACUGACUUCAACUGUAUAUGGAUACCUGUUCGUCAAGCAUCUCAUUCCAAAAUCACGGGCAUUAAUAUGGAGUUGAUCCCCCCUUUGAUGCUAUAACAGCCUUCACUCUUCUGGGAAGGCUUUCCACUAGAUUUUAGAACAUUGUUGCAGGGACUUGCUUCCAUUCAGCCACAGAGCAUUAGUGAGGUCAGGCACUAAUGUUGGGCAAUUAGCCUGGUUGCAGUCAGCUUUCAAAUUCAUCCCAAAAGUGUUUGAUGGUUUAGUUCAGGUCUCUUUGCAGGCCAGUCAAGUUCUUCCACACCAAUCGACAAACCAUUUCUGUAUGGACCUCGCUUUGUGCACGGGGGCAUUGUCAUGCUGAAACAGGAAAGACCCUUCCCCAAACUGUUGUAAGCACAGAAUCGUCAUUGUAUGCUGUAGCAUUAAGAGUUCCAUUCACUGGAUCUAAGGGGUAUAGCCAGAACCAUGAACAGCCCCAGACCAUUAAUUCCUCGCGUUCUCCUGGCAUUUUCCAAACCCAAAUUUGUCCUUUGGACUGCCAGAUGGUGAAGCGUGAUUCAUCACUCCAGAGAUCGAGUUUCCACUGCUCCAGAGUCCAAUGGCGAUGAGCUUUACACCACUCCAGCCGACGCUUGGCAUUGCGCAUUGUGACCUUUGGCAUGUGUGCGGCUGCUCGGUCAUGGAAACCCAUUUCAUGAAGCUUCCGAAGAACAGUUAUUGUGCUGAUGUUGCUUCCGGAGGCAGCUUGGAACUCGGUAGUGAGGGUUGCAACUGAGGACAGUUCUGUGAGCUUGUGUGGCCUACCACGUCGCGGCUGAGCCGUUGUUGCCACUAGACAUUUCCACUUCACAAUAAUAGCACUUACAGUUGACUGGGGGAGCUUUAGCAGGGCAGAAGUUGGAGAGGUGGCAUGUUGGACUUGUUGGAGAGGUGGCAUCCUAUGACGGUGCCACGUUGAAAGUCACUGAGCUCUUCAGUAAGGCCAUUCUACUGCCAAUAUUUGGCUAUGGAGAUUGCAUGGCUGUGUGCUCGAUUUCCUACACAUGUCAGCAAUGGGUGUGACUGAAAUAGCUGAUUCCACUCAUUUUAUGGGGUGUCCACAUAUACCAUUUAUAAAAAAGUAUGUUUGCUAACUUGGAUAAGUUCAGAUAAGCUAGUAGCAUAGCUAGCCAUAUAGAAAUCGAUGGUGGUAUUUAAGUCGUUUUUAAGUGUAAUGCAGUUGAUUGGUGACGAUGACAUGAACAUGUAUUGGAGUUGAUAGGCUAAUUUUGAUGGGUGGCAAUGAGGAAAUUCUGGAUCUAUCCCCACCAGGGGGGACCCAUGUGUGGAAUUUCCAUGAUGUUUACAUUGUUUUGGUCGAACUCUAAACCUCUCUUUACUGCAUGUAUUAAAGUCUUACCACUGCACUUGGCCCUUAUCUUUCAAUGUUUGCAGAUCAGUAAGGUGGAAGCUUUACCACUAUAGUGCUUAUACCCAUUCAGACCCUUCAGAUAUGCUAACAUUGACUGGUUAGGGCCAAGGGGGAGGGACAGGGGGCAAUUUGAGACUGGCUGUUCCAAUCAAAGGCACGCAAGAAACCAAGGUGGGACUUUCAAUGGUCUAUACACCUCACCUCUCCUUCCCCAUUGGCAGCAAAGUAGUUCAUCUCAGUCACGUCUGCCAGCUUUACAUAGUUGCAGGGCAGUGGAGCCCCCACAUGACCUGGGCAGAAAAGAUGCGUUGUCACAUUUCAGUAACACUUUUUGUCUGUUCUUUCAUAAUGCCAACAAUGUUUCAUGAAGAUUCCAGUGAGCCACACAAGACAGAAGUAAAACUGUUCUUAAAUCAUUGUAGAAUCAGAGUGUAGAGCAGGUGUAGAGCCAUGUGUGACUUGUUUGUUGGAUUAAGCAUGUGGUGGUAUGCGUUGUGUGAUGUGGUAGUAAUUGAAUGUGUCGGUAACGCUUGAAUGUGUGUAUUACCUGCUGUCCAGUCCCCAGGCACGGACAUGGUACACCCGGCUGUGCACUCAGUCUGACCAUAGCCUUCGUAAAACUGUCAAGUAGAAGCACCAGACAUUGAUUUGAAAGCACUGUAAAUGGAGUAACUUGUGUUUCUGAUGCUAGUAUAUUAUCCAUCUUCAGCACCACAGCAGGCUAGUUGGGUAGGAGGUUGAUUCCCAAGCAUGAAGUGAUUGUUUUGACUGAUAGAAAGAGAACAUUAUUGAACAAACAGGAAGUGUCAAGAGGGAGCUACUUCUCUAGGGUAUGAAAAGGGCUACAUUCCGAUUCUCUACCUCUCCCCACAAAGAGUGCGCCUGUAAACUCCCCCUAAAGGAUUUAAAAGGAAAUGACUAGUGUGUUGGAUAUGGGUGAAAUUCCUUCCAGCCAUGCUUGUACCAAUCCAAUGCUUUUAAAUGCACGAGGGGGAGUGAAUGAGUGCACACCUCUUUAGAAGGUUAAAGAAUUAGAAUGCAACCAGGCUCUGCAUCCAAAUUCUCUGGGAAAGGGGGCAUUUGUACACUCUUCCCCACACAUUUAGAAGCAUUGGAUUGGUGGAAGCAUGGACUAGAGAGUUUAUCCUUUUGUUCACCUGUCAUUUAAAUGUGUAAAUCAAUGAAGGGAAGUCUCACCUGGCAGCCAAGUGCGGCACGAAGGAACGUCAGGACGGUUGGAGAAACUGGGGCCGCUCCUGUGAUCAUCAGCCUCACACGACCCCCAAGACUUUUCUGGAGAGCACAAAGGAGGAAAGACGUUAUUGACAUCCAUGGUUGUACCUCACAAUAGACCAGCGAUUCUCAAAUUUGGGUCGAGGGAGGUUGAGUGGGUCGCAUGUGUCGAGUAAUUUUCUUUAAUAUAUUUUUGGUAAAUUAAUGGAAAAAAAUAACUUAAACCGGGUAGAAAGUGUGUAGAAAUUAUUAUGAAUUUACAUUUUUAAAUAAUUAGCAGAGACAUUUUUGGUUGAUUUUCUGGUCUCAAACCAGUGAGUUUAUUAACCUUCAAAAACAGUGGCGACCCAUUUUGAACCCCACCAGUUCUUUUAACGUUGCCCGUUUCACCUUAAUACAUGGCACAUAUCUGAUAGCAAACAACUUUUUUUAUUUAAAAAAAGAGUUAAAAGCUGCAUACAGACAUGGUCUCUUUUUUGCUUUCUUGAGUAAGGCAGCUCCAAAAUGCAGGCGUUUCAGCCUCGCUCAGUGCUUUCUGUGGUGGUGGGGCAGCCAGCGGAAAAUAUGGAGUGUAGAGGUUGGUAAUGUUCUCUAGUUGCGACGUGAUUGGCUCAGUGUUCUGUCACUGAUAGGGACACUACGUCACCGCAACAUCUACGGGGAGUGCUCAAGCCCCUUGGGUGCUGCCAUAGAGUUACAUUAAAAGUGCCCAUCCAUGGCGGCUCAAGGUCAUAAGCCACAGAUAAAUCACGUUAUAUUUACCGUAGCUUUGAUUGGACUGAUCAUGUCAAUUUAAGAUUUUUAAACUUAACUAGCAAGCUAGCAGUCAUCAUGAAUCAAGUCGACAAUCUACUGGAAAAUCCAUUUAAAUCUUAUAUGCCUCCUUUUGUAAUCAUACGGUUCUUAAUUGGUGUACAGGGAGAAAACUAAGAACGGCCCAUGUUCUGAAUUCUGAACAAAGAUAUUUUGACUACAUCCAUCCUAGCUCAUUGUCAAUUGAAGUUACGGAUUGCCUCUUAUCCGCUCGUCGUCUCCUUAUGCCAUAGUUUGUACAUCUCAAUUGUCAGUAGAAACCACAUUUGUUUAAGUAAGUCGGCCAUAUCAGCUAUGUUUUUUUAAAGGCAGUAAAUGAAGCUGAAUGAACUGUUUCGCUGCCAGACAAGGCUCUGCUGAUAGCCAGGUGUAGCAGUGGUAAGGUUUUGGGACAGCUUUAUUUAUUUAUUUAGGCCAGUUUGCGGGCACCGUUUGUCACCGUUAUAGUGCAAUUUAUGUAUUGUUUAGGGGCUUUGCUGUCAUGCAUAACAAAGAUUCCGACCAAGAUUUACAUGCUAACAAUCACCACUGAUCAAGAAUAUGGGUAAAAUGUAAUAACUGACAAAAGUGGUGGGAAUGUUGUUCCCAUGUAAUCUAAUUUCUACAUUUAAUAGCAAUAUAGCAUUUAAAACAGACAAAAAAAUAUAUAAACGUAACAUGUAAAGUGUUAGUCCCAUGUUUCAUGAGCUGAAAUAAAAGAUCCCAGAAAUGUUCCAUAUGCACAAAAAGCUUCAAGUUGUGCAAAAAUUUGUUUACAUCCCUGUUAGUGAGCAUUUCUCCUUUGUCAAGAUAAUCCAUCCACCUGACAGGUGUGGCAUAUCAAGAAGCUGAUUAAGCCUUGGGCCUUGUGCUGAGGACAAAAGGCCACUAAACAAAAUACAGUUUUGAGGAAGUGUGCAAUUGGCAUGCUGACUGCAGGAAUGUCCACCAGAGCUGUUGUCAGAGAAUUUAAUGUUAUUUUCUCUACCAUAAGCCGCAUCUGAUGUUUUAGAGAAUUUGGCAGUAUGUUCAACAGGACUCACAACCGCAGACCACAUGAAAUUUUGCAUGUGCAUUUUUCCCCACCAAUCAAUCAGUUAAGGGUUGCAUUAUAAUACUUCAUACAAAUUUGCCAUGAUGGAAAAUGCUAAUGUGUGGCACUUUCUUACCACCAAAUUGUUUUACCAUUAACCCUAGUCUUUACAAUACCCACAUUCCUAACUAAAUGAAAAAACACCCUAACCUUAAACCUCACCCAGAACCCGAAACAUAAACUUAGCUCAUGUAAGUCACAACAUUAAAGUCAACAUUGUCCUUCCUAGCACGACCAUCUGGUUCCUAUCCAUGGGUACCUGGACUUUUUGGAAGAUGAGCUUGUCCCACAAGCUGUCCUUCCUGACCACGCCAUUCAUCAUCUCCGCAUGCUUCCUCCUGGAGGCAAAAACCAUCAGCCACCUCUUCAGUGGCGUGUUGGCCUGUCCAAAGAUCUAUGAAGGAGAGAGAAAAUAAUAUCUUAUUUGUCCAUCUUGCAAAGGACAUUUGUCUUUUGCCCUGCUCCCAACCUUGUGCCUCCGUCAAGGGCAAGACUGGAGUGGAUGGGCAGCUACAAUCUGUAAAGCAGCAGCCCGUUGGUUGACAGUUCAGUUUGCUCUUUUAUUGCCCAGCCCAGGAUUUGAACCAGCGACUGUCCGGCUACAGGUCCGCCCGUCUGACCUCUAGGCUACAUAACGCCCCUUCUCCAAAGAGAGUAUUCAACAACAUAUCAAAACCCAAAGCAAUCUAGGCCACUGAGCUAUUUGAGACCUUUGUGGUUGAAUUCAGUCCAACACACCUUUAAAUUGUUUAUGAAGCAUCUUGGUUUACAAACCUUUGCCCACACAUGCUUUAAAUUAGAGCUCGAUACACAUGUACAACUUUUCUAAGAAAUGUUUGUAUUUGUCUUUUGUGCAUGUCCAAUUCAAAUAAAUCGAGCUACUGGUA